GGAAAAGCACACUUGAAAGCAGCAGUUCCACUGCCAGGUUAAAGUCUCUGAUUCCACAAGCAUGGACAGAGGGCUACAUUUCACUAACACAAUGUGACUGUCGAUUUUCAGCAUCUUAAACAGGGUUAGUGUACCUGCAACCUAAGGCCAGUUCUAAGGUAAUUUACCUGUGUUACCAUCUAGAGAAGAAAGCUGUUUCUAGUGGUCUCGCAAUCAACCUGUUUGCGGUAGGCAAAUUUGCUGGUCAACUGUAUGUUGAUUGGCCAGGUUAUCUCUGAUGUCACAAUCCCACCCUUUCCCAAAAUGACCUGUCUUGAAACCAAAACUUAACAUUACUUAACAUUUGUAUUAUGGUUAAUGCCUAGUGGUCCUGACUCAGGGCCCUAGUGUGCUAGGUACCUUACAGCAACAGCUUCUACCCCAAAGAGCUUACAAUCUGUUUUCUUCCCUGCAUGUUUAACAAACCCAGUCUUGAACAUACAUGAAGAAAUAAAGCAAAUGCAGUAUAUUGAUUUUAAGUCAGUUUUGAGAAUGGAGAGAGAUCACUAGUGGUGGUUUCAGUAAAGGGAAAUCAUGCCUCGCCAAUCUAUUAGAAUUCUGAGGAGGUCAAGCAGCAUGUGGACCAAGGGGAUCUAGUGUUCUUAGAUUUUCAGGAAGACUUUGACAAGGUCCCUCACCAAAGCCUCUUAUACAAAAGUAAGCUGUCAUGGGAUAAGAGG